CCAGAGGUCCUCCUCAGGACCAAUUCAUUUUAAAAUGCACAGUCUUU
rfam:Gorilla gorilla gorilla genomic chromosome, chr3, whole genome shotgun sequence